ACUCCCUCCGUCCCUAUUUACUUGUCCAUAUUUCCUUUUUUGGUUGUCCCUAUUUAGUUGUCCAUUUUGACAAAUCAAGAAAUGACAACAAUUUUUUUCCUAUUAUACCCUUAUUUACACUUCUUGAAAAUUGUAAAAGUGUAUGUUGUUUCCCUCCAAUUUAUUUCACUUGAAUUCAAAUAAGUGGUUGUAAUUUUUGAAGUGAAAAGUUGUCAUAAGGGUAAAAUUGUAACUUCACUGUGCUAAUCAUUGUUGCCUUAAUCUGUGUGUCAUUUUCUAAAGUGGACAACUAAAAAGGGAC
rnacentral:lncRNA from 1 species